CGUGGCUUCUCACUCAGUUCGACGUUGUUGUUUACUACGGUACACAUAACCUGCGUUUUAUUUAAUUUUUCAUUUUAAUUUUUGACAAUAAAAUAUGUGUGACAGUGAUAACUCAGAAGAUCAAAGUGAUCAACCUUGUGCAAAGAAAGUGAAACUACACUAUGGUAUACUACCAAGUCAUCAUUCCCAACAAUCAUCAGAAGGAUCACAAAAUAUUAUUAUUGAAACUGGACGUCACCCUGAUCAGUUAAACACAAGGCAUACUAUCAAUGUUGUGUCAGACUUUAUUAAUCGAAUAGUACCAGACUAUUUUAAACUAUUGCAUCUAUUGGAAAUGUGUGUUCUUCACAUGUUAAACUACAAGACGGAAGUGAAUUAAUUAUGAUUGUAAUAUACAUUUCACCUAAUAACAAAAUGGAUCAUCUCAUUUCAUUUUUACAUGAAAGCUGCAUAUUUCAGUGUAAAUUUUGCAAGAGCUGAAUCAAUGCCAUUAAUGACAUUUCUUCAAAAAGAAUUUCAAUGGCAAAUCAAUAACGAUCCAAAAGAAUCUACUACCAAAUAUGGAACAACAAUAGAUGCUGUAUUUGUGAGAUAUCUUGAUGGUGUUUCAUCCAAUACUUUUGUAACGUACUUUAGUUAUCAUCGACCAAUCGUCACAGUAAUACCGGCAGAGGAAAAAUCGAAUAUAACUAUUAUUGAAGCCACAGAUGAAAAUAUUUAAAUUGUGGCAACUUGAUACUAAUAUCGAAUUUUUAUAUCAUGUAAAUAAAUGUUUAUUAAAUAAAGUUACCAUUUACUGUAAGAAUCUCGUAAUACUU